GAUGAACGCUAGCGGCAGGCCUAAUACAUGCAAGUCGGACGGGAUUCAGGAGCUUGCUUCUGAUGAGAGUGGCGCACGGGUGCGUAACACGUAUGUAACCUACCUUUAUCAGGGGGAUAGCCUCUCGAAAGAGAGAUUAAGCCCGCAUAAAAUCACAGCACAGCAUUGUGUAAUGAUCAAAUAUUUAUAGGAUAAAGAUGGGCAUGCGGAACAUUAGCUAGAUGGCGGGGUAACGGCCCACCAUGGCGACGAUGUUUAGGGGAUCUGAGAGGAUGGCCCCCCAGACUGGUACUGAGACACAGACCAGACUCCUACGGGAGGCAGCAGUAAGGAAUAUUGGUCAAUGGGCGGAGGCCUGAACCAGCCAUGCCGCGUGCAGGAAGACGGCCCUACGGGUUGUAAACUGCUUUUAUACGGGAAUAAACCCAGAUACGUGUAUCUGGCUGAAUGUACUGUAAGAAUAAGGAUCGGCUAACUCCGUG
rnacentral:rRNA from 1 species